GUAUUGAUCGCGCGUCAUCGCGCAAAGAACAUUCUACACUACGUUCGAAUGGGUGUUUAUAAUGUUAAAAACGUGAGCACCCCCCUCCCUCCUCCGAGGAAGGAGACCCACGCGGUGAUGCACAAAGGGGUGAGAUGGAUAUUUGUAUGUGAGAGCACUCGGGCGUGCACGACAAAAGUCAGCGACAGCCCUCGUACCCCCAUCGUACGAUAAUGAUCCUUCCGCAGGUUCACCUACGGAAA
rnacentral:misc_RNA from 1 species